UGCCCGAAUCCUGACACAGGGAGGUAGUGACAAGAAAUAACAAUACAGGGCUACUUCUAGUCUUGUAAUUGGAAUGAGUACAACUUACAUCUCUUCACGAGGAUCAAUUGGAGGGCAAGUCUGGUGCCAGCAGCCGCGGUAAUUCCAGCUCCAAUAGCGUAUAUUAAAGUUGUUGCAGUUAAAAAGCUCGUAGUCGGAUUUCGGGUCGGGCCGAGCGGUCUGCCGAUGGGUAUGCACUGUUCGGCGCGGCCUUCUUUCCGGAGACCGCGGCUACUCUUAACUGAGCGGGCGUGGGAGACGGAUCGUUUACUUUGAAAAAAUCAGAGUGUUUCAAGCAGGCAGCUCGCUCUUGCAUGGAUUAGCAUGGGAUAAUGAAAUAGGACUCUGGUGCUAUUUUGUUGGUUUCGAACACCGGAGUAAUGAUUAACAGGGACAGUCAGG
rnacentral:rRNA from 1 species